GCUACUGUGGCUCAGUUGGUAGAGCAUAGCACUUGCAAUGCUAAGGUUGUGGAUCCAAUUCCUGCUGGGGCCA
rnacentral:tRNA from 1 species